UACGUAGGGGGCUAGCGUUGUCCGGAAUCAUUGGGCGUAAAGAGCGUGUAGGCGGCCCGGUAAGUCCGCUGUGAAAGUCGGGGGCUCAACCCUCGAAAGCCGGUGGAUACUGUCGGGCUUGAGCACGGUAGAGGCAGAUGGAAUUCCCGGUGUAGCGGUGGAAUGCGUAGAGAUCGGGAAGAACAUCGGUGGCGAAGGCGGUCUGCUGGGCCGUUGCUGAC
rnacentral:rRNA from 1 species